UGCGUAGGCGGCUUUCUAAGUCGGAUGUGAAAACUCUGGGCUCAACCCAGAGCCUGCAUCCGAAACUGGAGAGCUAGGGUUCUGGAGGGGAAAGCGGAAUUCCUGGUGUAGCGGUGAAAUGCGUAGAUAUCAGGAGGAACACCGGUGGCGAAGGCGGCUUUCUGGACAGAUACCGACGCUGAGGCACGAAAGCUGGGAGCAAACA
rnacentral:rRNA from 1 species